rnacentral:lncRNA from 1 species
GAGUAGUCCUAGGAUGGGUGACCCCCUGGGAAGUUGGGGCGUCACACGAUAUGGAAUACUUGCUAGUUUAACGGUGUAAAAAAAUUGGAAUAGGUUGAAUUUUUGAUAAAAAAAUUUUAUUCACUUCCUAGAUAAAGAUCAAUAACUCUGAUCUUAAAUUGAAGGAUCCGAUCAUCCAUUUUUAGGACGUCAUUCGAUUGACUGUUUAUUUUAUGUCCGCUUGAUAGACUUUAUUAUAAUUUUGAAAAAUUAUGAAAUUUAUUUUUUAGAAGUUUCAAAUAUUUUAAAUCAUAUUUAACUUAGUGGAUCAUCGAUUCGGAAGCUCCAUCACCAAAAAUAACUUAUGAGUACGAAGGGCUAUAUACUCAUAAGAGUAUAGUAGCCCUACUCUCUCUCUCUCUCUCUCUCUCUCUCUCUCUCUAUAUAUAUAUAUAUAGGUCAUGGCUACUAUACUAUUAUGAGUAUUGGAGCCUUCUUACUCAUAAGUUGUUUUCAAUGAUGGAGCUUCCGAAUCGACGAUCCACUCCAUUAAAUAUGAUCUAGAGUAUUUGAAACUUCUAGAAAACAAAUUUCGUAAAUUUUCGAAAUCAUAAUAAAGUCCAUCAAGUGGGCAUAAAAUGAACAGUCAAAAUCGAACGACGUCUUAAAAAAGGAUGAUCGGAUCCUUCAAUUUAAGAUCGGAGUUAUUGAUCUUUAUUUAGGUAGCGAAUAGAAUUUUCUAUCAAAAUUUCAACCUAUUCCGAUUCUUUUGCACCGUUAAACUAGCAAGUAUUCCAUACCGGCCAUUAAAAAUUGUCAAUUUUGUGAGUUUUUGAUCGUAAGGUAAAUAAUGUCGAAAAAUUAUAAAAUUUAAUUUCUAGAAGUUUUAAAUGCUGUAAAUAACGUUUAACGGUGUGGAUCGUGGAUUCAGAAGCUCUAUCAUCGACAACAACUUAUGAGUACGAGGGCGAUCGUACUCAUAAUAGUAUAGUAGCCGGACCCUAUAUAUAUAUAGAGUCCAGCUAUGGUGCUUGUAAGUUUUUUACCGUUAGAUCUUCUCCUCGGAUUAUUUUCAACCAUUCGAUUAUACUAUUUAACCAACCACUCACUCAACCCUAGGGGGCCCACAUCAUCCUAACCGUAUAUCUUUUAAUCCAAUGGCUAAAAAUCUAUAAGCACCAACAACUUGGUACUUUUAAAAGUAUAGGAGCUCAAUUAUAUAUAUAUAUCAUUCAAGAGUCAACUUUUUUAUAAUUGUCUUAUCACUCUAUUUCUUAAAGGCUACAUUACAGAAAACCUCCCUAUCAAUACCCGUUUUUUCACUUUCUUUUCCUAUUAUUUAAAAAUCUACACUUUGCUCUCUUGUAAAAUAAAAAAUGUUCAUUUCACCCUCUGCCGUUAGUGCUCCAUUAGGGUUCCAUUUAUAAAAUAUUAUUAUAUAUUUUUUAUACCAAAAAUACCCUCAGCUUUCUUUCCUGCCGCCUUGCCCUCCUCCGCCUCGCCGCCUCGCCCUCCUCCACUGCCUCGCCAUCGCCCACAUCUCUGUCCGCGCCUACAAACACCCCCUCGCCCUUCUCCGCCGCUUUGCCUUCGCUUUCAUUACCCUUGCUCACCUCUCCAUCUAUGCCCACCUCGAUUUCCUUCCUAUUAUCGCCGAAAUGGAGGGGUGACGAGGGUGCAGGAAAAAAAGGGGAGCAGGUGAAGAAGAACUGCGAUCGAUCGAGGUGCAAGAAAUGGAAGAGAAGAGGCGGCGGAUGACCAAGAUGAGGGAGGCGACGAAAAUGAUUAGGGGCAAAUUAGUCUUCAUCAUCAGAGUUCACACUGUACCCCCUGUGAACGUUUUUCAUUUUACAAGGAGGCAAAGUGUAGGUUUUUAAAUGGCCGAGGGAAAAAGUAAAAAAGCGGGUAUUUAUAAAUGGGGUUUAGGAUUUAGGGUUUAGGGGCAAAGUGUAGGUUUUUAAAUGACAGGGACAAAGAUUUUCACUCAAAGAGUUGGAUGCACCAAUAGUAU